CUUCCGGUUGAAUACCUCUUCAGCUUUUGUUCCUGAGACCCAACACUGAGAACUAACGACAGGAUUUUAAGAUUGACAGACCCCGAAGCAUUAGUCACCAGGCAAUGAGUAACUCCAGGAAGAACUGAAGCAAUUUUUAGCCUGGGUUCAGAAAGGCAGCGAGUCCCGAGAACAAAAGGCUCAUUCUGAGCCUGGGAGGAACGCCAGCGCUGUGUCCAUCAAGACGUAGGUGGUCCAGCCCCUGCUCGGUCCUCCCCGCUGCAGAAGUCAGGGACCCAACGUGAUCUGCCUCCUCAGUGAAACGUGUCCCUGAGGAGAAGUGGGUACAGCUGACUGCUGGGGCAGUCUCCCCCAACCCCAGCAACUAGACACAGAGUGAGGCCAGCUUUCCUACCGCAGCCUGGCUCCAGGAUUUUGGUCUCCCUUCCUACAGCUGCCUGCAUCCCUAUCUGCUGUCCAUGGACUAGUGACUUCUGUGUAGCCCAGAAAGACUGACUUACUGGUGGAGAGUCUCCGGUUGGGUUACUAUGGAAACAGACCCAUGGUUCACAAGACCCUCAAGUCCCUCUUGAGAGCUAUCCACCACAUUGCAGGGGUUCAGGAAAUCUAGGAGCCCUCCUGCCUAACAGGUGUGGAGGUCAAAAAUUGUCUCCUCCCAGGUCGCUUCUUCCUCUUCUCUCCUUCCUCUCUUUGACCUCUCUUUGAUCCUUUAUCCUUUCUCCCAUCUCCUUCCUCUUCCCUCUUCUCUUUUUCUCUUUAUUUUCUGAGACAGGUCUCACUCUGCAGUCCAGACUAGCCUGGAAUUCAAGGCAAUCCUCCUGCCUCAGCUUGAGUGCUGAGAUUACAGGUAUAGGUCGUGUGCCCAGCACCCAGGUGACCCAGGGCAUUGUCAGGGUAGAAAUAUGAAGUGAUGGACACUUCAGUAGUGACCUUUCCUCUGUCUACUCUCUUGUCACCUCCUCCAUCAACCAAAGCAGCCCUUCCCCUGCCUUCCUGAAGCCUCAAGUCCAGCUGUUCCUCCAGCUGGGGCCCAGUCCCACCUCUUCCUCCACCCAAUCUUCCUCCAGAGGUCACCACAGAACCUAUCCUGAACUCUAGCAAUGUCAGGCUCCUGCAUACUCCCACCGGUCUCCACAGCCUUCCUGACUGGCCUGUACCUGUCCAGUCCUCUGUUCUCUGCUAUCCCAGAUUUUUAUGCCUAUGACCUCUCUUCACACCUUGCCUCAGGGUUCCCUCUGUUCCUACUCCCAGCUUGUCGAUGGAUAACAUCCUUCCACCUUUGGGUGUAGAGCAGCCUUGGCCUUUAUCACGGCUGUGAGCCAUGAGUGGGCUGGUUCCUUGUGACAGAUGUCUGGGAUGCAAGCACACCUGGCUUUCUGAGCCGGUGGCAGAACUACUGUCGAUCACCUAGACUUGUUAUAUGGAUUACACAUUGGAAUGAU
rnacentral:lncRNA from 1 species